GGUAGCGUGGCCGAGCGGUCUAAGGCGCUGGUUUAAGGCACCAGUCUCUCCGAGAGGCGUGGGUUCGAAUCCCACCGCUGCCA